rnacentral:rRNA from 1 species
GAUGAACGCUGGCGGCGUGCCUAAUACAUGCAAGUCGAGCGAACGGACGAGAAGCUUGCUUCUCUGAUGUUAGCGGCGGACGGGUGAGUAACACGUGGAUAACCUACCUAUAAGACUGGGAUAACUUCGGGAAACCGGAGCUAAUACCGGAUAAUAUUUUGAACCGCAUGGUUCAAAAGUGAAAGACGGUCUUGCUGUCACUUAUAGAUGGAUCCGCGCUGCAUUAGCUAGUUGGUAAGGUAACGGCUUACCAAGGCAACGAUGCAUAGCCGACCUGAGAGGGUGAUCGGCCACACUGGAGCUGAGACACGGUCCGGACUCCUACGGGAGGCAGCAGUAGGGAAUCUUCCGCAAUGGGCGAAAGCCUGACGGAGCAACGCCGCGUGAGUGAUGAAGGUCUUCGGAUCGUAAAACUCUGUUAUUAGGGAAGAACAUAUGUGUAAGUAACUGUGCACAUCUUGACGGUACCUAAUCAGAAAGCCACGGCUAACUACGUGCCAGCAGCCGCGGUAAUACGUAGGUGGCAAGCGUUAUCCGGAAUUAUUGGGCGUAAAGCGCGCGUAGGCGGUUUUUUAAGUCUGAUGUGAAAGCCCACGGCUCAACCGUGGAGGGUCAUUGGAAACUGGAAAACUUGAGUGCAGAAGAGGAAAGUGGAAUUCCAUGUGUAGCGGUGAAAUGCGCAGAGAUAUGGAGGAACACCAGUGGCGAAGGCGACUUUCUGGUCUGUAACUGACGCUGAUGUGCGAAAGCGUGGGGAUCAAACAGGAUUAGAUACCCUGGUAGUCCACGCCGUAAACGAUGAGUGCUAAGUGUUAGGGGGUUUCCGCCCCUUAGUGCUGCAGCUAACGCAUUAAGCACUCCGCCUGGGGAGUACGACCGCAAGGUUGAAACUCAAAGGAAUUGACGGGGACCCGCACAAGCGGUGGAGCAUGUGGUUUAAUUCGAAGCAACGCGAAGAACCUUACCAAAUCUUGACAUCCUUUGACAACUCUAGAGAUAGAGCUUUCCCCUUCGGGGGACAAAGUGACAGGUGGUGCAUGGUUGUCGUCAGCUCGUGUCGUGAGAUGUUGGGUUAAGUCCCGCAACGAGCGCAACCCUUAAGCUUAGUUGCCAUCAUUAAGUUGGGCACUCUAAGUUGACUGCCGGUGACAAACCGGAGGAAGGUGGGGAUGACGUCAAAUCAUCAUGCCCCUUAUGAUUUGGGCUACACACGUGCUACAAUGGACAAUACAAAGGGCAGCGAAACCGCGAGGUCAAGCAAAUCCCAUAAAGUUGUUCUCAGUUCGGAUUGUAGUCUGCAACUCGACUACAUGAAGCUGGAAUCGCUAGUAAUCGUAGAUCAGCAUGCUACGGUGAAUACGUUCCCGGGUCU